UAUACACUGGAUUUUUCAUACUCUUAUAUCAUCACAAGGAAAGAGGAAAAAAAAAUUUUGAUUUCUUUCUGUUUGUUUGGAGGAAGGAAGAAGAAAUGGCGAAGGUAGCACUUGUUUUUUUAAUCUCCAUGGCACUUUUUUUAUCAAUCCGCUCUGUGGUGGCUGAAGAAAGCCCAGCACCAAGUCCAAUGGACUCAGAUGCCACUACUCACUCACAAUCAUGGGGUGAUUGGUUCGGACAUAAAUUGGAGCAAUAUGGUAUCAAAUCUAAGGAUGAUAACGCAGGAGCACCAGCAGGGGAGCCGAUAGGAGCACCAGCAAGUGCAUAGAAAUAUUGAUAUAUAGUGCAUAUAUCACUCAAAUUACAACCUAUUUGAUUAUAUAUUACUUACCAAUUUUUUGUCUAAAUAGUAACAUGCAUCCUCUUCUAGACCCUAUUCGUGAAAGGGGGAUGUCCAUUGCAUCAAUGUAAUGGUUUCUAAUAAGUAGAAUUAAAUAAAUGUUAUGAAUUCAUGACCAUGGCUA